UUAAGCGACCAAGCGUACACGGUGGAUGCCCUGGCAGUCAGAGGCGAUGAAGGACGUGCUAAUCUGCGAAAAGCGCCGGCGAGGUGAUAUGAACCCUUGACCCGGCGAUGUCCGAAUGGGGAAACCCAGUGUGACUCGUCACACUAUCAUUAACUGAAUCCAUAGGUUAAUGAGGCGAACCGGGGGAACUGAAACAUCUAAGUACCCCGAGGAAAAGAAAUCAACCGAGAUUCCCCCAGUAGCGGCGAGCGAACGGGGAGGAGCCCAGAGCCUGAAUCAGCAGGUGUGUUAGUGGAAGUGUCUGGAAAGGCACGCGAUACAGGGUGAGAGCCCCGUACACGAAAAUGCACCUGCUGUGAGCUCGAUGAGUAGGGCGGGACACGUGGUAUCCUGUCUGAAUAUGGGGGGACCAUCCUCCAAGGCUAAAUACUCCUGACUGACCGAUAGUGAACCAGUACCGUGAGGGAAAGGCGAAAAGAACCCCGGCGAGGGGAGUGAAAAAGAACCUGAAACCGUGUACGUACAAGCAGUGGGAGCACCCUUCGGGGUGUGACUGCGUACCUUUUGUAUAAUGGGUCAGCGACUUAUAUUCUGUAGCAAGGUUAACCGAAUAGGGGAGCCGGAGGGAAACCGAGUCUUAAUUGGGCGUUAAGUUGCAGGGUAUAGACCCGAAACCCGGUGAUCUAGCCAUGGGCAGGUUGAAGGUUGGGUAACACUAACUGGAGGACCGAACCGACUAAUGUUGAAAAAUUAGCGGAUGACCUGUGGCUGGGGGUGAAAGGCCAAUCAAACCGGGAGAUAGCUGGUUCUCCCCGAAAGCUAUUUAGGUAGCGCCUCGUGAACUCAUCUCCGGGGGUAGAGCACUGUUUCGGCUAGGGGGCCAUCCCGGCUUACCAACCCGAUGCAAACUGCGAAUACCGGAGAAUGUUAUCACGGGAGACACACGGCGGGUGCUAACGUCCGUCGUGAAGAGGGAAACAACCCAGACCGCCAGCUAAGGUCCCAAAGUCAUGGUUAAGUGGGAAACGAUGUGGGAAGGCCCAGACAGCCAGGAUGUUGGCUUAGAAGCAGCCAUCAUUUAAAGAAAGCGUAAUAGCUCACUGGUCGAGUCGGCCUGCGCGGAAGAUGUAACGGGGCUAAACCAUGCACCGAAGCUGCGGCAGCGGCACGCAAGUGUUGUUGGGUAGGGGAGCGUUCUGUAAGCCGUUGAAGGUGGCCUGUGAGGGUUGCUGGAGGUAUCAGAAGUGCGAAUGCUGACAUAAGUAACGAUAAAGCGGGUGAAAAGCCCGCUCGCCGGAAGACCAAGGGUUCCUGUCCAACGUUAAUCGGGGCAGGGUGAGUCGACCCCUAAGGCGAGGCCGAAAGGCGUAGUCGAUGGGAAACGGGUUAAUAUUCCCGUACUUGGUGUUACUGCGAAGGGGGGACGGAGAAGGCUAUGUUGGCCGGGCGACGGUUGUCCCGGUUUAAGCGUGUAGGUGUGUGUUCCAGGUAAAUCCGGUUCACUUUAACACUGAGGCGUGACGACGAGGCACCACGGUGCUGAAGCAACAAAUGCCCUGCUUCCAGGAAAAGCCUCUAAGCGUCAGGUAACAUCAAAUCGUACCCCAAACCGACACAGGUGGUCAGGUAGAGAAUACCAAGGCGCUUGAGAGAACUCGGGUGAAGGAACUAGGCAAAAUGGUGCCGUAACUUCGGGAGAAGGCACGCUGACACGUAGGUGAAGCGGUUUACCCGUGGAGCUGAAGUCAGUCGAAGAUACCAGCUGGCUGCAACUGUUUAUUAAAAACACAGCACUGUGCAAACACGAAAGUGGACGUAUACGGUGUGACGCCUGCCCGGUGCCGGAAGGUUAAUUGAUGGGGUCAGCGGUAACGCGAAGCUCCUGAUCGAAGCCCCGGUAAACGGCGGCCGUAACUAUAACGGUCCUAAGGUAGCGAAAUUCCUUGUCGGGUAAGUUCCGACCUGCACGAAUGGCGUAAUGAUGGCCAGGCUGUCUCCACCCGAGACUCAGUGAAAUUGAACUCGCUGUGAAGAUGCAGUGUACCCGCGGCAAGACGGAAAGACCCCGUGAACCUUUACUAUAGCUUGACACUGAACACUGGUCCUUGAUGUGCAGGAUAGGUGGGAGGCUUUGAAGCGUGGACGCCAGUCUGCGUGGAGCCAUCCUUGAAAUACCACCCUUUAAUGGCUGGUGUUCUAACGUGGGCCCCUGACCGGGGUUGCGGACAGUGUCUGGUGGGUAGUUUGACUGGGGCGGUCUCCUCCCAAAGAGUAACGGAGGAGCACGAAGGUUGGCUAAUCCUGGUCGGACAUCAGGAGGUUAGUGCAAUGGCAUAAGCCAGCUUGACUGCGAGCGUGACGGCGCGAGCAGGUGCGAAAGCAGGUCAUAGUGAUCCGGUGGUUCUGAAUGGAAGGGCCAUCGCUCAACGGAUAAAAGGUACUCCGGGGAUAACAGGCUGAUACCGCCCAAGAGUUCAUAUCGACGGCGGUGUUUGGCACCUCGAUGUCGGCUCAUCACAUCCUGGGGCUGAAGUAGGUCCCAAGGGUAUGGCUGUUCGCCAUUUAAAGUGGUACGCGAGCUGGGUUUAGAACGUCGUGAGACAGUUCGGUCCCUAUCUGCCGUGGGCGCUGGAAGAUUGAGGGGGGCUGCUCCUAGUACGAGAGGACCGGAGUGGACGCAUCACUGGUGUUCGGGUUGUCAUGCCAAUGGCACUGCCCGGUAGCUAAAUGCGGAAGAGAUAAGUGCUGAAAGCAUCUAAGCACGAAACUUGCCCCGAGAUGAAUCUUCCCUGAGACUUUAAGUCUCCUGAAGGAACGUUGAAGACGACGACGUUGAUAGGCCGGGUGUGUAAGCGCAGCGAUGCGUUGAGCUAACCGGUACUAAUGAACCGUGAGGCUUAACCUU
rnacentral:rRNA from 1 species